rnacentral:rRNA from 1 species
UACGGGGGGGGCAAGCGUUGUUCGGAAUUACUGGGCGUAAAGGGCUCGUAGGCGGCCAACUAAGUCAGACGUGAAACCCCUCGGCUUAACCGGGGAACUGCGUCUGAUACUGGAUGGCUUGAGUGUGGGAGAGGAAUGCGGAAUUCCAGGUGUAGCGGUGAAAUGCGUAGAUAUCUGGAGGAACACCGGUGGCGAAGGCGGCAUUCUGGACCAUUACUGACGCUGAGGAGCGAAAGCCAGGGGAGCAAACGGG